UUUGUUACUACAACAAUUACAAUCUUUCUCAGCCACGCCAUUUUUGUAAGAAUUGUAAAAGGUAUUGGACUAAAGGAGGUAUUUUGAGGAAUAUUCCAGUUGGUGGAAGCUCUCGUAAGAACACAAAACGAUCUUCUUCGAAUAGCUGUAAACGCUCCUCAACGAUGACGAUUUCAUCUUCAACUUCAUCAGAACAAAAUUCAAAAACAGAGCAUUUUGAUACCCCUGUUGUUCGGAACAGCCCGAUUGUUGACGCCAAUGGGCCUUUCGGCUCGCUACUAGCAUCAAACGGGCCGGAGAUAGGGAAUUUUUUAAAUGUUUUGAAUCCUAACGGGCCCGAUUCGGGCUCAGACGCUGCUGCCGCUCAAAGUGGGAAUAGUAAUAAUAAUCAUGAAUUUUUGGGUGAAGAUUCUAAUUGUUGGAAUGGUACUAAUGGUUGGGCUGAUCUUGCUAUUUACACCCCAGGUUCAACCUUUCAGUAAUUAAUUAAUUAAUUAAUUACUGAAAGGUUGAACCUGGGGUGUAAAUAGCAAGAUCAGCCCAACCAUUAGUACCAUUCCAACAAUUAGAAUCUUCACCCAAAAAUUCAUGAUUAUUAUUACUAUUCCCACUUUGAGCGGCAGCAGCGUCUGAGCCCGAAUCGGGCCCGUUAGGAUUCAAAACAUUUAAAAAAUUCCCUAUCUCCGGCCCGUUUGAUGCUAGUAGCGAGCCGAAAGGCCCAUUGGCGUCAACAAUCGGGCUGUUCCGAACAACAGGGGUAUCAAAAUGCUCUGUUUUUGAAUUUUGUUCUGAUGAAGUUGAAGAUGAAAUCGUCAUCGUUGAGGAGCGUUUACAGCUAUUCGAAGAAGAUCGUUUUGUGUUCUUACGAGAGCUUCCACCAACUGGAAUAUUCCUCAAAAUACCUCCUUUAGUCCAAUACCUUUUACAAUUCUUACAAAAAUGGCGUGGCUGAGAAAGAUUGUAAUUGUUGUAGUAACAAA
rnacentral:misc_RNA from 1 species